rnacentral:misc_RNA from 1 species
GCAAACUUGGUCAUUUAGAGGAAGUAAAAGUCGUAACAAGGUUUCCGUAGGUGAACCUGCGGAAGGAUCAUUAUUGAAUACAACUGAUUGAGUUGUUGCUGGCUUUUAGAAGCAUGUGCACACUUAAUCUACUGUUAACCCACCUGUGCACGUUGUGUAGAUUUGAACAAUUUUCAAGGCUCUAAAAAAGUACUUGGUUAAAGAAAAAUUGCUGUGAUUUUCCAGUCCGGCUGUUUUUUUUAAAGUUCAAAUCUAUGUUUUAUCAUUUAAACCCUGUAUCAGAAUGUAAUUCAUGGGUUAUUGUACCCUUAAUCACAAUACAACUUUCAACAACGGAUCUCUUGGCUCUCGCAUCGAUGAAGAACGCAGC